UAAUGAAGAAAACAUGGUAAUAUGCACAUAAAUUGAAUUGGGCCUCUAGGUCUGCCCUCCCUGAUGCCGUUUGGCUUUAUUUUGGGGCAUGGUUCCUCAGCAAAACA